AAGACCUACAUCACCUACAACAAGGGCCGUGAUUGGAGAUUACUGCAGGUCCCGGCGACAGACCUGGCUGGCAACGACACCCACUGUAUACUGCCCUUCUGUUCGCUCCAUCUCCAACUGCAGACGUCUGAAAACCCCUACCUGUCAGGCAGCAUAUCAACCAAGGCCUCAGCACCGGGAAUCAUAGUGGCCACAGGGAACAUUGAGUCUGAGCUGUCAAACGAUAAUGUUGGAAUGUUCAUCUCAUCUGAUGCUGGUAACAACUGGAGACAGGAUAAUUUUUGAUGAUGGGCUGCAGUGGACCAGCUUCUCUUUGGUGCCUCUGUUCGUGGACGGGAUGCUGGCGGAGGCCGGGACAGAGAACCAGAUCAUGACAUUUUUUAACGAGGAAGGUUCCAUUACUCAUAGACUUGAGGUUUUUCAGACACUUCAGCCAUAGGUCCAAGUGGCAGCUUAUCAAGAUAGACUASAAGUCCAUCCUCAACAGGAAAUGUACAGAAGGAGACUAUUAGACGUGGCACCUUCACAACAAGUUAAGACCUCUUCAAAAGGAAGUCAGUCCAAUUCAUCAAUAGGUAUCCCGAUUACCUAAUACCAAUGUAUUUACAUGGUAGUUAGCGACUAAACUUUAUUCAUAAUGAGCGAUACCUGGAGAAAAGSGGAACUCUCUGAAAUGAAAAUGGAUGGCCCUCCUUUCAGAUAUUUUUUUUUUACUGUGCCUCCCUGAAUGCUAGAACAAAAGUCACCCUUCCCUCGAAACGUUAAUGACUUGGAGAAGAGCUGCAAAGAGGAGUGGGACAAAAUCCCUCCUGAGAUGUGUGCAAACCUGGU